CCUACGGGAGGCAGCAGUGGGGGAUAUUGCACAAUGGGGGGAACCCUGAUGCAGCGACGCCGCGUGGGUGAAGGAGUGCUUCGGCAUGUAAAGCCCUAUCGGUAGGGAAGAAGCAAGACGGUACCUGACUAAGAAGCCCCGGCUAACUACGUGCCAGCAGCCGCGGGAAUACGGAGGGGGCGAGCGUUAUCCGGAUUCACUGGGUGUAAAGGGAGGGUAGACGGCCAUGCAAGCCAGAUGUGAAAGCCCGGGGCUCAACCCAGGAACUGCCUUUGAAACUGCAUGGCUGGAGUGCGGGAGGGGCAGGCGGAAUUCCUGGUGUAGCGGUGAAAUGCGUAGAUAUCAGGAGGAACA
rnacentral:rRNA from 1 species